rnacentral:rRNA from 1 species
GAUUCUGGCUCAGGAUGAACGCUGGCGGCGUGCCUAACACAUGCAAGUCGAACGGAGUGUCGAGAGCUUGCUUUGACACUUAGUGGCGGACGGGUGAGUAAUGUAUGAGCAACCUGCCUUUCAGAGGGGGACAACAGUUGGAAACGACUGCUAAUACCGCAUAACGUGCGGGGAGGGCAUCCUCCCUGUACCAAAGGAGCAAUCCGCUGAAAGAUGGGCUCAUAUCUGAUUAGUUAGUUGGCAGGGUAACGGCCUACCAAGACUGCGAUCAGUAGCCGGACUGAGAGGUUGAACGGCCACAUUGGGACUGAGAUACGGCCCAGACUCCUACGGGAGGCAGCAGUGGGGAAUAUUGGGCAAUGGGCGAAAGCCUCGACCCAGCAACGCCGCGUGAAGGAAGAAGGUCUUCGGAUUGUAAACUUCUUUUAUGAGGGACGAAGGACGUGACGGUACCUCAUGAAUAAGCCACGGCUAACUACGUGCCAGCAGCAGC